CCUACGGGGCGCAGCAGUGGGGAAUAUUGCACAAUGGGCGCAAGCCUGAUGCAGCCAUGCCGCGUGUAUGAAGAAGGCCUUCGGGUUGUAAAGUACUUUCAGCGGGGAGGAAGGUGUUGAGGUUAAUAACCUCAGCAAUUGACGUUACCCGCAGAAGAAGCACCGGCUAACUCCGUGCCAGCAGCCGCGGUAAUACGGAGGGUGCAAGCGUUAAUCGGAAUUACUGGGCGUAAAGCGCACGCAGGCGGUCUGUCAAGUCGGAUGUGAAAUCCCCGGGCUCAACCUGGGAACUGCAUUCGAAACUGGCAGGCUGGGGUCUUGUAGAGGGGGGUAGAAUUCCAGGUGUAGCGGUGAAAUGCGUAGAGAUCUGGAGGAAUACCGGUGGCGAAGGCGGCCCCCUGGACAAGGACUGACGCUCAGGUGCGAAAGCGUGGGGAGCAAACAGGAUUAGAUACCCCCGUAGUC
rnacentral:rRNA from 1 species